GUGUUCAUUUUGGCAGCACGUAUAUUAAAAAUUGGAAUGAUGCAGAGAAGAUUAGCAUCACCUCUGUGCGAGGACGACACACGUAUCUGUGAAAGAAUUUGGAGAAGAAAAUAUUU
ensembl:snRNA U6 U6 spliceosomal RNA